AGGUGAAGUGCUCAGAGGAGAUAGGAUUGUUAAUACGCUAUAUGAUAUCAAAAUGGCAGAAAACAAAGGUUGCACAAUACUCUGUGCAGCAAAAACACUAACAGCUGAGGAGUCUACGAAACUUACCAAGUUAAUAAGUGAUGAAUAUCAUGUUCAUAUGGUUAUUGACAAUUUACCAGUGGCAACAACAU